CACGUAGUUAGCCGGGGCUUCUUACUCAGGUACCGUCAUUUUCUUCCCUGCUGAUAGAGCUUUACGUAACGAAUUACUUCUUCACUCACGCGGCGCCGCUGCAUCAGGGUUUCCCCCAUUGUGCAAUAUUCCCCACUGCUGCCUCCCGUAGGAGUCUGGGCCGUGUCUCAGUCCCAAUGUGGCCGUCCGCCCUCUCAGGCCGGCUACUGAUCGUCGCCUUGGUGGGCCGUUACCCCGCCAACAAGCUAAUCAGACGCGGGUCCAUCUUACACCACCGGAGUUUUUCACACCGCUUCAUGCGAAGCUGUGCGCUUAUGCGGUUUUAGCACCUAUUUCUAAGUGUUAUCCCCCUGUGUAAGGCAGGUUACCCACGCGUUACUCACCCGUCCGCCACUAACCCAUAUACUCACCAGGUUUCAAUAUGGGUCCGUUCGACUUGCAUGUAGUACGCGACGCCACGACGUCGUACUACUCUGACACGAGACUACAACUCUGUACGACGU
rnacentral:rRNA from 1 species